ensembl:lncRNA
UUUUUUUCUUUUUCUUUUUUUACAUCUAUACAUUAAAAUUGUAUUUAACCAAUAUGGAUGCUUUUUACGUGACAAGCAGGCAGUUCAGAGACCACAAUGAGCUGAUUUCAAAACAUCUUCAAUAAUAUAUGAUCUUACCGAGCAAAUAAACUCAACCAAUAAAGGUAUCCUAUAAAUAUUCAAUAAUUUUCUCUAAAGAAAAAGAAAAUAAUUUGAGCAGUGUGUGCAUACAAUAAUAGACAAAGGCCUCCCAUGAACUAGAACUGGCGUUUUUUUUUAUUUCAUUGUUAUUGUCCUGGCAUCCAAUAGGUAUUUUCUUUUCAGAGCAAUGUUUUCACCUUGAAAAAUUCCAACUCUGUAAAUAAAAUCCACUUCAACCCCAAACCCACUCUUGCAAAACAGGCCAGAAAUCUAAGCACGAAUACAAUAGGAGAUAAAUGACACUUUCCUCCUUCUUCCAUUGUAUUCAAAACAGUCUUCGGACUCCAGCCCCUUCUGAGCUGUGUGGCCCUGGGUGGGUGACUUCGCUUUCCUGAGCUAGGGUGUCUGCUUUUGUGGCUUGGCCAUCAGGAGACUAUGAAACGCGAAACUUGAAACUCGUCAGUCAGGGUUUGGGAGGAUUAAAGGAGAUGCUGCCUGAGCUCAGGGCGUGGCCUAAGACACUCAACAACUCAACACCCAGAGUCGUUAUUACUAUUGCUAUUGUUUUUAUUGAAAAGAUCAGGAAGAGUUUGUAAUAAACACAUAUAUUCAGCACAUUUUUGGAAGUUCCCGCUGUGGCACAGUGGGUUAAGAAUCCCCUGCAGAGGCUCGCCUUUACCGAGAUAUAAGUAACACCUAACACCUGUAAGUUCAAGGUGUACAAUGUCUUGAUGGGAUGUGUUCAUAAACUGCACAUUUUUUCUUUUCUUUUUAUGGCUGCACCCACAGCGUAUGGAAGUUCCCAGGCUAGGGGUUGAAUCAGAGCUACAGCUACCAGCCUACACCACAGCCACUGCAACGCGGGGUCCAAGCCACGUCUGCGACCUAUGCCACAGCUCACAACAACGCCGGGUCCUUAACCCACUGAGCAAGGCCAGGGAUCAAACUCCCAUCCUCACAGACACUAUUUUGGGCUCUGGACCCACUGAGCCACAAGGGGAGCUUUUAUAGCUUAUAAAUUGGGGACCAUCAUGAUGACAUCAGCUACCACCUCUACCCACCCCAGAAUUACCAUUUCUUUUUUUGUGGGAAGAACGUUUAAGAUCCGCUUUCUUAGCAACAUUCAAGGAUACGACACAGCGUUUCGAAGUUAUAAUCACCGUGCUAUAUGGCAGAUACUCAAGUUUUUAACUUUGAGCUGAAACUCUGUACACUUAGACCAAGAGCCCCUCAUUUCCCUCACCCCCCAGCCCCGGGUACUCUGCUCCAAGCCCCUCUCUACUCUGCUCCUCUGAGUCUGUCACUUUUAGAUGUCACGUAUGAGUGAGAGGAUAGAAUAUUUGUGUUUCUCUGCCUUAUUUCCCUAAGCACGGGCCCUCGAGGUCCAUGCUUGGGAAGUUUUUUUGUUUUGUUUUGUUGCUUAAAACAUUGUUAUUUUUUUAAGGGGGCAAAAAGAAAAAUUAAAGUUUUAUUUCAUAUAUAAAAAUGCAUUACAAAUGGAUAAGAAUUGUGGGGAAAUGUAUUCGUUGCAGAAAAUAAAUAACAAUUUAGCUGGAUUAAAUUGACAAUUCUUGGAAGAUUUAGGAUGUUCCAAGAUUGUGCUGAGUAUUUAAAGGUUGAUCAAAUUUUAAUUUUCCCAACAAACCAUACCUCUGUUUCUACGUAUUAAAGAUUCCGUAUGAAACAUUAUUUCAUAGAUGACAGUGAAGGUUGAUGAGCCGUAUCAUUGUUACUUUUUAGUACAAGAGAGUUGAUUUACAACGAGGAGGCUUUUAAAUGUACCAGUGUUGGGGCCCCAUGGCCUGGAGAGCCUAAUGUAAUUGGUCUGAGCUAUAGCAGAGCUUCAGUAUUUUUUAAGACCUCUCUAGGUCACUGGAAUAUUUGCCCACGCUUGAGAAAUACUGCACUAAACUGUGCCAUCAGGUUAAUGAGUAGAUUUUUAGGUCCAUUUUAUUACCUUCCUGUAGAAAAAGCCGAAAAUUGAUGGGCUGGGGUGCAGUCAGGUCAGCGCUCAAGGCCCACACAUCCAUCAGCCGGUGGCACACCCCAGGCUUUUGAAAACCAAGUGUUAACUGGAGACUUGUUUCCUGACCGACUGGCAGGCCACCUCCUGCUGAAGUGGAUUUGGUCCCUGGUAACGUCCAUAUACCAAGGGGGCAGCCAGGGAGAAAAAAAGUGGGGGUGGUGGUGGUGGAGAAUGAGUCAAAUAUUUAAGGUAGUGACUAAUAGUUGAAAAAAGCAUGCAGAUGGGGUGCUAUGUCCAAAACAGCAAAACUGAAAACGAAACCCAGAAGGCACUGGCUAAGCACUAAAAAUACGGACAUGCCCUCUCGGCCAAACUCUUUUCCACUCUGUUCCAAGGGAACUCCAGGCGGCUGACAUGGGAACACCGGAAGUAUGAGACGGGAAGGCUACUGUGGCCCGAACCACCCAGCCAACAGGGCUCUGCUUACAGCCACCUGUAGCCUGUGACAUUCCCACCUCACACCCACCCGCCAGACCCCCAGGAGCUGAGGGCUGCAGCACAUGUGGCAACCGGGUUCUUGGGAUCCCAUGUACAUGGCUCCAGGGCCAGGAGCCCCCUCGCAGGCUUCACUGCCAUGCACAAAGUAUCCACCCCAAAUAUUUGCGGAUUAGCUGGAUUUGGGAUGAAACCUUUUCAAAUCUGAAAGGUCAGCAUGCCUUCAGAAUACCUCCGUGUGUGUGCACGCGCAUGAGAUUAGUUAUUGAAUAAAACGUCUCGUACUUUUCCGUCUGCAACAUAGAAUAAGACGCAGAAGUACCCACGAGUUGGUAAAAAUAGAUUUUAUUUGUUCAUACAAAGAAAUAGUAUGAAUUCCCAGAACUUCAUUUGCCUAGAAACAUCUUUCUCUGUGUAAAAUUAAUUUGUGUUAUACGUAGGACAAAAUACUUGAUUGAUUUAUUUAUUUUUUUGUACAUAUUGGCUAUUCUAACAUCCAGGGCAUAGAGGGCACACUGCUAGAAUUUGCACAGUGUUCCAGAUUACUGGUGAACGAAACUCAGUCAUAAAUUAAUGUUACAGAAGUGAAAAAAAAAAAAAUUCUAACCACACCUUGGAGUUUUAUUGAGCAUCUUUCUCGAUCCACUGCAAAGAAAAAAGGACAUUGUCUUCCAUGCCAGCAUCUUAGAUGCUAAGUGUUUCUAGCUUAGCGGAAACUUUCAUUGUCCUGUCUUAAGCAAAUAUCCAGGCAGGAUCUGAAGCUGUGUUUCUCCAAAGGUCUAUAAUGUACCUGUCACUCAGAAUGAGUUCCUGGGAGGAUCCCACGAAGAAAACAAUCUCUCCUCCGUCUUUCAAUCGCGACGUGUGUGUGAUGCCGUCAGUGCAUCCAAAUAGCUUUUCUGGUACCACCUACCAAGUUAACAGACCACCGUACAAACACCUCAAGGACGCUGUGGGCUGGAUAGGAACAAUAAAAACCUCCCAUUUGUGUGUGUGUUAACCUUUCUGUUUGUUUUUAGCAAGAAAAACAAAACUGAGUGGAAUAAAGUGCCCCC